UACCUACUAGGUGUUCACUUCUUUGGUUGCUGUUGCAGGCAGACCAGACACAUGCGGUUACUUCUGAGCAUUUGUGCAUGUUUUGACUUUGCUGUUUCAGGUAUAACCAACUGCUGCAUGCUUGGUGCCCUGAAGAAACGAUACAAGUUGGCAUCUACGUUCAUCAAUAGCACAGUUUGCGUGGGGCAGCCACAUCGCAGUGCAGUAGCACAUCUUAGUCAACCGCAUGACAUGAAGAAAUUUUAUUACUACACGCAUGGGCCUGGCCCAUUGUAUGGUCAGCCCAGGCACGUGCGCAUCCUUGGUAACUGUUGGGGAUAGUAUCAUGGUCAUUGCUUAUACAGAUUGAAACGCACCAUCAAGUCAUUCAGUAUUAAAGCUGGCGUAUGCAAUUCUUCG